UACGUAGGUGGCAAGCGUUGUCCGGAUUUAUUGGGUUUAAAGGGUGCGUAGGCGGCGCCAUAAGUCAGUGCUGAAAUAUCCCGGCUUAACCGGGAGGGUGGCAUUGGUACUGUGGUGCUUGAGUGUAGUCGAGGUAGGCGGAAUUGACGGUGUAGCGGUGAAAUGCUUAGAUAUCGUCAAGAACACCGAUAGUGUAGACAGCUUACUAGGCUACAACUGACGCUGAGGCACGAAAGUGUGGGGAUCAAACAGG
rnacentral:rRNA from 1 species